rnacentral:rRNA from 1 species
CACGAAGGGGGCUAGCGUUGCUCGGAAUGACUGGGCGUAAAGGGCGCGUAGGCGGAUGGCACAGUCAGAUGUGAAAUUCCCGGGCUUAACCUGGGGGCUGCAUUUGAUACGUGUGAUCUAGAGUGAGGAAGAGGGUCGUGGAAUUCCCAGUGUAGAGGUGAAAAUUCGUAGAUAUUGGGAAGAACACCGGUGGCGAAGGCGGCGACCUGGUCCUUGACUGACGCUGAGGCGCGAAAGCGUGGGGAGCAAACAGG